CACGUAGGGUGCGAGCGUUGUCCGGAAUUAUUGGGCGUAAAGAGCUCGUAGGCGGUGUGUCGCGUCGGCCGUGAAAACCUGCAGCUUAACUGUGGGCGUGCGGUCGAUACGGGCAUCACUGGAGUUCGGCAGGGGAGACUGGAAUUUACGGUGUAGCGGUGAAAUGCGUAGAUAUCGUAAGGAAGACCAGUGGCGAAGGCGGGUCUCUGGACAGUUCCUGACGCUGAGGCACGAAGGUCAGGGGAGCAAACGGG
rnacentral:rRNA from 1 species